rnacentral:rRNA from 1 species
GAUUUGAUCCUGGCUCAGAUUGAACGCUGGCGGCAGGCUUAACACAUGCAAGUCGAGCGGAUGAAGAGAGCUUGCUCUCUGAUUCAGCGGCGGACGGGUGAGUAAUGCCUAGGAAUCNGCCUNGUAGUGGGGGACAACGUUUCGAAAGGAACGCUAAUACCGCAUACGUCNUACGGGAGAAAGUGGGGGAUCUUCGGACCUCACGCUAUUAGAUGAGCCUAGGUCGGAUNAGCUAGUUGGUAGGGUAACGGCCUACCAAGGCGACGAUCCGUAACUGGUCUGAGAGGAUGAUCAGUCACACUGGAACUGAGACACGGUCCAGACUCCUACGGGAGGCAGCAGA